rnacentral:tRNA from 1 species
UAGCGGGGUGGAGCAGUCUGGUUAGCUCGUCAGGCCCAUAACCUGAAGGUCGCGUGGUUCAAAUCCCGCCCCCGCUAU